CACCUUUGAUUCACCAAGUUUCAAACAUCAUGUUGCUAUCAUUGCCAGGUGCUUCUCAACUUGAUAUAUCUGAAAGCCCACUAAAUGGGGUGCUCAAAAGAAAUCAAGAAGCUCUUGUUGGAAGUUGAUGCUCCAGUCCUAGUUACAUGUCUUCAUUGCAACUUAGUGUUGGAUCACAAGGUCACCUCCUCACAUGUUGUCAGGGAUUUUGGACAAUCUGCUCACCAUGUCCAAGUUGAGCCUUUUUUCUGCACAAACUGAGAUGAAAAACAUCAGAUAGAAAUAUUGAACUGUUGUCAAGUUAUGAAAACAUAUACCAGUUUCUCAGUUUGCCAUCUUCAUUUCCACAUUACCUGGGCCAGUUUUCUGUCCUUGCAGAACUUUUGAUCCUUCAAGAAACAUUGUAGAAGUUCAUUGUUGAUUAAAUUUCAUAGAAGAACUGAUCUUCUGUAAUGAUUUAAU
rnacentral:lncRNA from 1 species